AAGUCGUAACAAGGUUUCCGUAGGUGAACCUGCGGAAGGAUCAUUAGUAAAUUAAACCUUAUGGGUUUUUCCAAAUCCAUAAUCACCCUUGUGCACUGUUUAACUGUCUACGCCUUUCCGGUAGGGGUUGAAGUCUAGGACGUUUGUUCAAGACGUAGCGAACUACCGGGAGGUGCUUAUUAAACCCUUUUUAAUUUUCCAAGUCUGAUUCAUGCUUUGGUUUUUCCAAAGUUUAUAUUGAAAUUAAAUACAACUUUCAACAAUGGAUCUCUUGGCUCUC
rnacentral:misc_RNA from 1 species